CCUCUAUAGCCAAUAUAUAUCAACCUCCUCUAGACAAAAGGUUUCUAGGGGCCCUCCAAAUAAGCUCUCUCACACUCAAUUUUAUGUUGACACACUCUCACUUUUAUAGCCCUCUCAAAUCUAUGUUAUUCUCAAAAAAUCCUUGCCUUACUUAGGCAUUGAAGGAUCUCUAGCCAAAUGAAUUUUGGUGACCUUUGGUGUAAAACUUUUUUCUCGUUUUGAAGUUCAUUCCUGAUUUCUUCAUCUAAGCAAAGCUAUCGUCAGCUAGUCAU
rnacentral:lncRNA from 1 species